UACGUAGGGAGCAAGCGUUGUCCGGAAUCAUUGGGCGUAAAGCGCGCGUAGGUGGCUUCAUAAGUCCGUUGUGAAAGUCAAAGGCUCAACCUUUGAAAGCCGAUGGAUACUGUGGAGCUAGAGUACGGAAGAGGCGAGUGGAAUUCCCGGUGUAGCGGUGAAAUGCGCAGAUAUCGGGAGGAACACCAAUGGCGAAGGCAGCUCGCUGGGACGGUACUGACGCUGAGACGCGAAGGCGUGGGGAGCAAACAGU
rnacentral:rRNA from 1 species